rnacentral:rRNA from 1 species
UACGUAGGUGGCAAGCGUUAUCCGGAAUUAUUGGGCGUAAAGAGCUUGUAGGCGGUUUGUCGCGUCUGCUGUGAAAAUCCGAGGCUCAACCCCGGACUUGCAGUGGGUACGGGCAGACUAGAGUGUGGUAGGGGAGACUGGAAUUCCUGGUGUAGCGGUGAAAUGCGCAGAUAUCAGGAGGAACACCGAUGGCGAAGGCAGGUCUCUGGGCAGUAACUGACGCUGAGGAGCGAAAGCAUGGGUAGCGAACAGGAUUA